GGUGGUCCCAGUGCUGAGUAGUUAUAACUAAUUAGUCACAACCAAUUACAGAUUUCUUUGUUCCUUCUUCACUCUCACUGCUUCACUUGACUAGCCUUAA
rnacentral:Y_RNA from 1 species